rnacentral:rRNA from 1 species
CUGCUGCCUCCCGUAGGAGUUUGGGCCGUGUCUCAGUCCCAAUGUGGCCGUUCACCCUCUCAGGCCGGCUACUGAUCGUUGCCUUGGUAGGCCAUUACCCACCAACUAGCUAAUCAGACGCGGAACCAUCGUAUACCACCAGAGUUUUUCACACCGCUUCAUGCGAAGCUGUGCGCUUAUGCGGUAUUAGCACCUAUUUCUAAGUGUUAUCCCCCAGUAUACGGCAGGUUUUCCACGCGUUACUCACCCGUCCGCCA